UACCUGGUUGAUCCUGCCAGUAGUCAUAUGCUUGUCUCAAAGAUUAAGCCAUGCAAGUCUAAGUACGAGCUCUCGUACAGUGAAACUGCGAAUGGCUCAUUAAAUCAGUUAUGGUUCAUUUGAUCGUACAGUUUACUUGGAUAACUGUGGUAAUUCUAGAGCUAAUACAUGCGAGAAGCGCCCACCUCGCGGGAGGCGUGCAUUUAUCCGACCAAAAACCGGCCGCGUCUUCGGGCGCGUUCGCCUUGGUGACUCUGGAUAACUUUGCGGAUCGCACGGUCUAGCACCGGCGACGGAUCAUUCAAGUGUCUGCCCUAUCAACUUUCGUCGGUACGGUAUUUGCCUACCGAGGUUCUUACGGGUGACGGGGAAUCAGGGUUCGAUUCCGGAGAGGGAGCCUGAGAAACGGCUACCACAUCCAAGGAAGGCAGCAGGCGCGCAAAUUACCCAUUCCCGACGCGGGGAGGUAGUGACGAAAAAUAACAAUGCAGGACUCGUUCGAGGCCCUGUAAUUGGAAUGAGUACACUUUAAAAGCUUUAACGAGUAUCCAUUGGAGGGCAAGUCUGGUGCCAGCAGCCGCGGUAAUUCCAGCUCCAAAAGUAUAUAUUUAAGUUGUUGCGGUUAAAAAGCUCGUAGUUGGAUUUUGGGCGCAGGCGGCCGGUCCGUCGCAAGGCGUGUACUGGACGUCCUGGCCUUCCCUCCGGUUCUCCGCCGGUGCUCUUGACUGAGUGUCGGCGGCGGCCGGAACGUUUACUUUGAAAAAAUUAGAGUGUUCAAAGCAGGCUCUCCAGCCUGGAUAAUGGUGCAUGGAAUAAUGGCAUAGGACCUCGGUUCUAUUUUGUUGGUUUU
rnacentral:ncRNA from 1 species